UACGUAGGGUGCGAGCGUUGUCCGGAAUUAUUGGGCGUAAAGAGCUUGUAGGCGGUUUGUCGCGUCUGCUGUGAAAAUCCGGGGCUCAACCCCGGACUUGCAGUGGGUACGGGCAGACUAGAGUGUGGUAGGGGAGACUGGAAUUCCUGGUGUAGCGGUGGAAUGCGCAGAUAUCAGGAGGAACACCGGUGGCGAAGGCGGGUCUCUGGGCAACAACUGACGCUGAGGAGCGAAAGCGUGGGGAGCGAACAGG
rnacentral:rRNA from 1 species